ensembl:lncRNA
GCCUACUCCACCUGACUAGUGAGGUCCAGAAGUUUCGUUCUCCAGAUUCGGUACAGUGAGACUACCUGCCGGAGGUGUUUCAGAGCUAUUUGAGGAGCAGGGAUGCCCACGAGUUCCAUCCUUACUUUGUGUUUCCUUUUAGUUAUUAGCGAUGCUGUUGGAUGAGGCUUAGCCGUUUCAUAUGAAAGAAAAAGAAUUUGCUCUUAGGGAUCCGGGAGCAGCAGUACAAUCGCGGUGUUUUUUAUUUUAAAUAGGACUCUUCACAGUGUUAUUUUUGACCGGCGAACCUUCGGGUUCUUUUAAAGUUAUAUUUUUGUUUAUAUUCCUGGGUGAGCGGAAGGGAGAGGACGGGAGGAGCUUCCUGUGUGCCUGCCUGCAGGUGCACCAAUGCUCAGCAGAGGGCACUGAAUGCUGGGGAAACAUGCUUGUGAGCUGCCUGAAGAGGAAAUCAAUCUUUCAGGUUAAAGGGCAGCAAGAGUUCUUAACUGCUGAACCAUCCCUCCAGCCCCUUGUCCCUCUUUGAUCUUUGCUCUGAGGGGGAGGAGAGAAGAAUUGGGGGAUUUGAAACCCUCUUCCUGAACUUUAAGCAACACAUUGAUACCUGCAUGUAUGGCACAACUGAAGCAACAGCAACAUUUCCCUGUCCUGUGGGAAUGGCCUCGCGGACUAGUAAGGCCACUUUCUUGCUCCUAGCACCUUGCAUCUGAUGCUUCGUUCUCAAGGAAAAUCUCUUAAGACUCUCUUCUGGCUGUGGCCAGUUUCUGGAAUCCCUGAUUGGUUUAGUCAGAGCUCGUGGAAAUCACUAUUACUAAUAGGCAUGGGCAAGUACAUGUUGUGUCAUCUGGGACUCUAGCAUUGGAAUUCAUGGGGCAUCUUGUAACAGGAGGCCUGGACUGAGUACUGUAACUGAACUCUGAGGUUCUAACACGCUCCCAACAAGAGUAAUGAUGGAACUGUAGGGUUUAAUCCAAAUGCAAAAUGCCCAUGUGAGGAAUACAGAAAUUAAUCCAGUCUUUUAGAAAACUGACAUCAGCUUGAGUUUAAGUUGAGGAACAAUUUGUGCAGGACCCAGAGGGCUUCCUGACUAAGUGCUGUCAUCUGACUGUGCUAUAGGAGAUCAUCAUCUCAGUUCCUGUUCUUCCAGGUGGUUUGAAGAAGUCCGACUGUUUGAGAGAACCUUCUGGUUCCCUAAUUCUGCCCCUACUUAAGGCUAAAGCCAUGUUGCAAUCUGAAACAUGAGCUUGAGGUCACUGGAUCCUGUUGUUGAUUGGUCUUCCUGGCACAUUGGUUAAAUUUCUGCAUGGCAAUGAAGUUUGGCUGGUCCCCCACAAAGGAAAAGAGUCAGAGAAUGUAGACAGGCUGACAGUUUGUCAGUGUCAUCAGUUUGGAAAGUUGUCCUUGGCAGUGUUCUGAAGAAGUGUCCUUCCCAAUCCUUGAACUGUUCUAACCUUUGCCUGAAGGCUAAACUCUAAAAGACAGGCCCCAACUAGGGGAUUAUCAUGUUGACUGCCAAAUCUUUCUCUGUAUUCACAAGGCCCAGAAAAUCUGGUGUGCUUUGUAAGCCCCUCCUGAAUCUGCACGAAGUCUGAGUCCAUUUCAGUCUUCUGGACAGAGACAAAGGAAGGAAAAGUAUAAUAUGACUGCUAACUUGCUCAGCACCCUUUACCUACCCACCCUGCAUCCCAACAUGUCAUGUGGAAAAGUCCUCAUUUUUUAUAUUGAGAAGGGUUUUUUGUUUGUUUGAUUAAUUUUUGAUUUUUCAGUGAAGUCAUUUUCUUUGUGUCAAUACCUUUUUCUCUACACUUACCAGGCUGUUGUAAGAAAUAAACUGAGAAACAUUUGAUCUCUCCUCUUCCUCCACCAAGUGCUGACCCUCAGGCUGCACCACCAAUAAAUAGGGACCUGAAGAAAGGAAUGGGAGUUGUGUUUAUUUAAAAAAAGAUUAGACAGAAGGAAUACGUUUGGUGGAUGUGUAGUCAGGUAUGUGGAAGAGGGUGCCUCUGAGGGCCCAUGUUGAGGCAUCCCUUCCCUCUGAGAGGCAUAGGGAAGGGAGUUGAAAGGGUAGUAGGGACAGAGAAAGGGAGAGAGAGAGAGAGAGAGAGAGAGAGAGAGAGAGAGAGAGAGAGAGAGAGAGAAGAGGAGUAGAGGCUGGCCAUGAGCAUGCAGAGAAAGAAGGGAGGGGAAUGAGGAGAGAGGGGGGAAGGGGAGAGAGGACAGAAGGAGCAAGAAGGCAAGAACAAGAGAGAGAGGGGGAGGAGGAGGGGGCAAACAGUCCUUUUUAUUGUGAGUCAGGCACACCUGGCUGUUGCCAGGUAACUUGGGGGCAGAGUUUAAACAAAAUGCUGACAAUGGGGACUGGGGUCAGUUGGACAUAAAGGACUGUGGAGACUGCUGGAGACCAGAGUACUACCAUCCUGCAGUUAGUGAGAGAUAAAGCUGCAACAUUUCCAGCACUUCUCCAACCGCAACUCAGCUCAGCGGUAGCUGUUUUUCAGAAACUUCUGCUUUCCUCAACAGAAGGAAGUGAAAUAGAGAUGUUACUUUCUGGGUGGUUUAGCAAAACCGCUCUCUGUAUACCAUGUGCAACCUCCACACAACGACUUCCACAAUUGUGUCAAACCCAUCAAGCUACUCAACACACACACCAACAUACCACACACACACACACAUACACUCUCGUGCACACACACACACACACACACACACACACAGAGAGACACACACACUCACAUUGAAAGCUAUGACAAAAGGAAUCAAUCUCAAGAAAAAUCAAACAUGUUUUGCCAUUGGGAUGGUAUUUGUUCAAAUGCUGUCUGUUAUGUAAGAGGUUGUGGGCCAAGGUUGGGGGAGGGACAGAUGGGGAAAUUCCAAUGUGUGCAAUUUUUGUGGAAAGGAUGACCGUAGGAGUAAUGCAGUCUCAGGAUUUCAUUGUGGGAACUCGGGAGUACUGAGGGUGGGAAUGAAGCCAGAGAAAGAAAGUAGAAUUACUUUUGACAUUCUUCACAGGUUUGUUUAAGGGGCACCUCAUUGAGAGUCUGCUCAGAGCACUUGCGUGUGGUUUGCAGAGAGCGAUGGAGAUCAACUUUGCCCAUCCCUGAUCAAAAUGUAGAGAAACCUGCUAAGGUGUCUGGAGGACGGGGAAUCAAACAUAAUUGAAGAAAUACCUGGGGAUUGGAUGGGAGAGGGACUCAUGAGUUCCCACCCCUCACUGCAGAGCUAAUGGCAGUGGUGCCAGGAGGAGGAGGGUCAGUUUUCUUCAGAGAUGCAGUUCUGAGGAAGAUGGGGAACUGGGAGGGCAUAGGAGACAGAAAUAGGAGAGUUGGAGGGGAAGACUAUGAUCCAAAUGCAUUGUAUCUAAUAUAUGACAUUUUCAAAGAAUAAGUUUAAGUAUAUUUUUAGAAAACUAUGCUGCUGCUGUAACAACCUGUGGUACAAAUUCAUGACACUGAUACAGGCCUGAAGAGGCCCGUGGUUCUGACUUCAUUGAAAAGGCAAUUUUAUUUUGCAGUUAUGUUAUCUCCUAUGACAAAACAAAAAGUAGUAAAUAAUAAUACCUUAUAAAGAAAUAUGAAUACAACUAGACAUAACCAACGCCAUCUUAAUUGUCCUUGGUUAUAGGACAACCCAAUGUGGUUAUAAAACCACCCUGGCUUAACGUUCCUGAUACAGCUGCCAACCAUUGAGCUGUUUGUUCUUGAUUUCUGCUGAAGUGGGUUGGGUACUUUCCAGUAAAAACCGCCUAAACCCGUCCUUACUCAUAUUUGCCUAGCACGUAGCAGAGAAGCCUUCCUGUUUGCACACCAUGCUGCUGGCUCAUAGCCCUGUGAUCAGACAUAUUUCCUCCUGUGGCAGCUGCUUCUUAUUCACCAGAACUCCAUGUUUCCUGAAACAGGCUUUCUCCAUAUUGUGGAAAACUUGCAUGAUUGAAUCUUCCUACUUCUGAAGAUGAAAUGAGUAGUUCUUUGCACACAAAGUUUGGAGGGUGCUUCUCAUUCUUCUCUUCUUCUCCUUUUUCUCAUUUACCUGAGAAGAAUUUUAAAUGGGUCAAAGGAAUGAGUGUCAGUCACCAAACUGACAAGUUGCCUUGAAUACCUGUAACUUUGUUAGAAUAAUAAAUUCUGGAGAAAACUAGUCUCAAUGUUGCUUUUGUCUUCUUCUUUUUUUGGGGGGAGGAUCAAAUAAUUUCCAAAUAACAUCUGCUGAGGUUUGAAUAUUAAAUGUCUCCCAGAGGCCUAUGUGCCUUGCUAGGCAGCUUGUGACAUUGUUGAUUGGGAAAUAGCAGAAACUUAAAAAUCUAAGGCUUGCUGGGAGUAAGUUAAGUCACUGGUGACUGUGCAAACCACAGUUCCCACCCUAAAGGGAAUAAGAGGUAGAUUAUUGGGAAACUGUUUUGGGUGACCACAGCCCAGGAACACAGAUUUAAGUUACUCCAAAUUCCAAGUUCCAACAUGGAAACAGUUCUGUAAAGUUUUAUGCUUUGACAGAACAAAGGAAGCCGCCAAUCAAGGUGAGUUUAAAAUACACUAGUAGGAAUAUCAGAGAGGUAGGGAACAUCAGUCUCUCCUAGAGGCCUCAGACACUGUUAGAUGACAUUAUUAGCUCAGGGCGGCUAGUUGUCUGCUAAGCUAAUGUAUUCCAAAAGUCUUUUGCCUAUUAGUCACAGGAUGUGAUAGUUCAACAUAGACAUGGUCUAGGAAUUCAGACCUAAAGGAAGUCUGAGAUGAGAUAAAUUACCCUAUAGACAGGCAACAUUCCCACCUCUUAUCUGCCAACCUUGGCAGACAUGGCUUCUCUUUAAGAAUGCCCACUGACAGUGGUGGACAGUUCUGAUCUGGCCUAUAACCCCGCCCCCAUCCUUGUGUGUAACUUUAACAUGGACCCAGAAGCUAUUGAGCCAGCUAGCCAUAGUCUGAAACUUAGGCAACUCUUCUCCUCAUAAGUUGGCCAAUUCAGGUGCUUUGUUAUAUCAUCAGAAAGUUGACACAAUGUCCUUUACCAAGUAACUUUGGCCCAUAUUACCCUGGAACAGAAUCCUCUGCAUUUCUUCCUCAUCUGUUUAUUGUUCCUUUUGUAGACUUGACCUCUCUUGCACAUCCUCCUCCACCUCCUCCUUUGUGCCAGAAAAUUUCUCAGGCUUUUAAUUCAAUGGAUCCAUUAACUAGAAUAAUAAUAACUUUCCAUGCCCUUGUGUCACAGAGGCCUACUAUCAGGAAUUCAGAUUGUUGUGUUUAUAAAAAGAUAAAGCAAGAAGGACUAUGUUUUGGUGGAUGUGUGGUAAAGUGUGGGAGAAAGGGGUGCCUCCACAGGCCCAUGCUGAGGCAUCCCCUCCCCCUGAGGUACCAGCCAGAGACCGGGCAGAGGGGCGAGAGGGAGAGCAAGAAGGCAAGAACAAAAGGGAAAGGAGGGGGCAAUUAGCCCCUUUUAUAGUGAUUCAGGCAUACCUGGCCAUUGCCAGGUAACUGUGGGGCAGAGCUUAGAAAAAAUGCUAACAGAUGGAUUUGUUUCCAAAUACACUGUAAGAAACUCAUUUAGAUAUGACCUGCCUUAGCUACAGAGUGAGUUCAAAGUCUAUGUGAACAACUCUGUGAGAACCUUUCUCAUAAUGCAUUCUGUAAAGAGGGUCAGAAAUACAACUCUGAGAUAGAGUGCUGAUCCAGCACUCACAAUGCUCUGGGUAUGACACCUGUUGUGUUUUAUAAAAAGAUUGGAAAAGGCAGGGAUAUUUUUAGUGGAGGCGUGGUAAGGUGUGGGAGAAGGGGGUGCCUCUGAGGGGCCAUGCUCAGGCAUCCCUUCCCCCUCCGUAGUACCAGCCAGAUGAUG